rnacentral:rRNA from 1 species
CCUACGGGUGGCAGCAGUCGAGCAUCAUUCACAAUGGGGGAAACCCUGAUGGUGCGACGCCGCGUGGGGGAAUGAAGGUCUUCGGAUUGUAAACCCCUGUCAUGUGGGAGCAAAUUAAAAAGAUAAUACAACAAGAGGAAGAGACGGCUAACUCUGUGCCAGCAGCCGCGGUAAUACAGAGGUCUCAAGCGUUGUUCGGAAUCACUGGGCGUAAGGCGUGCGUAGGCUGUUUCGUAAGUCGUGUGUGAAAGGCGCGGGCUCAACCCGCGGACUGCACAUGAUACUGCGUGACUAGAGUAAUGGAGGGGGAACCGGAAUUCCCGGUGUAGCAGUGAUAUGCGUAGAUAGCGAGAGGAACACUCGUGGCGAAGGCGGGUUCCUGGACAUUAACUGACGCUGAGGCACGAAGGCCAGGGGAGCGAAAGGGAUUAGAUACCCGGGUAGUC